CACGUGACGAACCUCAUUUGCAUAUGGACAGGCAGGACAGGUGAGCGUGAGGUACACUAGUUUCAGUUACAAGUUCUGCUGGAUUAUGAGUUUUGUCGGCUCCCCGGAGCUUCUCUCGUUGGAUCAGAGUCACCGAGGAGCACGUUGGCCGUUUUACCUGGAUGCGUACCAAGCGGCAGAUGCUUCACAGUCCAGAUGUAAGAGCACAGGCCUCACAGACCUGAUCCAGACCUAACAUUUCUCAGCUGGGCGAUGGUUUUUGGAAGAGUUCCUGAGCUCCUGCAGUGAUGUCUACUACAGAGUUGGGUCUGUUUUUUUAUUGCAGGGUCGUCUGAGGGCCCAAAGAUAAAG